CGCGCUUCCUCUGCGGGUGGGUGCGGGCUCUGUUCCGAAUGGACUGGCUGGCUCGCUAGCUCGUCGGCUGGACGAAUCGAUUCGUCUCGAUGCUCUGCCUACCUUUGCCCCCUGCCUUUUCCUCUCGAGGAGAAGAUGUUUUGUUCCUUGUUGUGGUUGGGCAAUCUGUGGAUUACCUUUUUGUCUUGCGCGUGUAGCAGUUUUUCAGAAAAGUGGAGUUGACUCGGCUGUAGCUAGCGUGGAUACCUACCAGCGACAUAUAGAACAGAUAAUAAGCACUACUUGGUUGUGUGGAGCUCAUGUCGAAUUCAGAUUUCUGUAAUCGUUCAGUUACUUAGGGCCGACCCAAAAUUGCUUGCAGCAGCUUUGCUAGGGCCGACCCAAAAUUCAGAUUUUCUACUGAGUGGUUAGAUCUUCCUAGCUAGGGAUGAAUGAGCUCUGGCAUGGUACUCCUACCAAGAAUGGAGGAAUACAGACGUCUAGCUCUAUGCAUGAACAUUCGAGAGCAUUACCGAGAGAAACAUACAUACAAAGGCUUAAGCAAGAGUAUACUUUAUAAUUGACGCACUGCUUUGUCAAAUACCCUGCUUCUUUCAUGAUUUAGACAAUUGUAUUGUAUCUGACAAGAUUUUGAAAUAACUCAUACAAAAUGAGAUGGUGCCCUGCCCCAUUGACAUAGUUAAUAACGCUAUUGACGAUCACCUAGCCAAGAGGCUCACCGAACUGUGUGGUUCUGAGAACAAAUUAGUUGUGGGAAGUUCUGAAUAUAAAAGAAUAAUUGAAAUGAACCUGGUUAGUAUACUUUGUAAGCUUUCUUGUUGCUUCUGUCUGGGUGAACAGUACUGACCACCACCUGCUUUUUUAGGGAAUAGCCUGUCUUUAUGUUGAUGUUCCGGAUUGUGAGAUCAUAAUUUGGAGUCAGAUGAAUCCCGUGCGUACUUUACUUGGUUUCCCGACAGGAGACAUGACUAUUGUGCUGCUAUAUGAAGCACCCGUUGGCAUUGCAAUUUUCUCUUUUGAUGGGGACUACCUCAAUGAUCCAGCAAAGGUUCUUAUUUUUUCCUUGCUGAUGCUCCUUAAGAUUUGGCUGUCAUCAAUGACAAACUCAAGAUCAUCUAAUCGAUUACUCUGCUUUUUCUACAUGACUUUUGGUAAUGCUUGCCACCGCUUGCUAGUAAUGCUCCCAUUUUUUAAUCAUUGAUCCUGCCUCCUUUCAUGAUUUAGACAAUUGUGUUAUACCAAAUUUCCGUUCGAUUUUCUCAUGUUCUGCUCACUCUAAGGAAGGUGGGUAGAUGAUUGUCAAACUUCUGGGCUGUUAUGGAGGAUCCUACAGGUGGACGGCUGGGCGACGUGCUGAUUCUCGGUGGAAGGGAGCGAGGAGGCGGAGAGUUCGAUCAGAGAAAGCAAUUGUGCAAUCUCUUUCUCCAGGUAAGUGAUACCCUGACAACAGUUUGAUACUAUUGUUGUAUUUGAUUCCUUUCGCUUCAGUUACAAGCUAUAACUAUCCUGCAAGAUGGUGGGACGAAUCAGAAGUCCACCAACCGCUUGCACGUGUCAUGCGUGUUUGUCGGAACAGAUUUGCAGCUACCCCUAUCCUCUCCAUAUCAGAGAAAGAUGGAUGGUCGUAUGUACACCAAUCUGGAUCAACAGAGCUUACUACGUUGCAUUAACCAUACCUUUGUGGUCGUCAACUGAAAUGGAUUAUUUUUUUCAAGUAUUAUUUCAUGGAUUACUGUUUGCUAUUCCAUUACUUGGUGGUUAACGACUAUUGUUAAGGAAGCUCAUCGCUUGCAUCAAAUCGAAUUGCGUGAAAAGGAACAUUUGAAGUUCUUGCGCCUUCUUCUUAAGGAUUUUAUGAUUAAAUAUGGCAUUGACACUGAGAAUUGGAUUCUGAUCCAAUUUGCAACAGCUCUGAAGAUUAUUGUUUUAUGCCCCUGGAGCAUCAGCCAGAUGAAGGCCAUCGAAGAUCACAAGGGCAGCUUGCUAUUGUACAGGAAUUCAACACAUAAGGGCAGCUUGUUACAUUUACAGAAACUCAUGAUGUUGGCAAUGGUAAGGGGGCGAAAUCAUGAAGGCACGGUUGGGUUGCAAGGUGCUCAAACUCUCAUAUUGCGAUUUGCCUACAACUUUGUUUGUAGGUUUGUUUGUUUGGUUGUUUGUAGUUUGUUUCUGUGACCUGUACUAAAGCAAAUAGCAGCUAUUUGCAGUCCGACAUACAUGUGCAUAUACAAAACUCAGAGAAGUCAUGGUAAAAACUUGCUGUUAAGCGACGAUAUGGGUGUCAUAAAGAACUUGGAAUUGGUGGGUGAGCAUGGAAAUCUAAGCUAGUCUAGGUUUGGCUCUGCAGUGUGGUAUUGGGGGACUGUUUGAAUUAGACUUCAGAUUUUAGCACCGCUUUCCUCAGUGUUUCAGGGUAAACAUGCCAUAUGUUGAGCAUCAAAUAUCUUGCGCAUGUGGGUUGAUUUGGUUCGAUCUAGUCCGGCCUGAUUGGUUGAGACCAAGGCUUAUUCGACUGGUUUGAAGCAGUCCAGAGCGGAACAUAUGCAUGAUUUUUUGAAUUUAUUUGGUGGUUUGACCAGUUGAACUUCCUGUUUUUAAUGAUUAGAAUCAUUCACUGAACUUGACUACAGCUAUUCCCUUACCAUAUGAUGGUUACGCUUAUCAGUUUGG
rnacentral:rRNA from 1 species